rnacentral:rRNA from 1 species
AGCGAACGUUAGCGGCGGGCUUAACACACGCAAGUCGAACGCGAAAGGGAUUCGUCCCCGGUAGCGUGGCGUCCGGGUGAGUAACACGUAGGAAACCUACCCUCGAGCGGGGGAUAACGUUCCGAAAGGAACGCUAAUACCGCAUGAGACCACGGCAGCUCUGGCUGCUGAGGUCAAAGAUGGCCUCUGUACCAAAGCUAUCACUCGAGGCUGGUCCUGCGGCGCAUCAGCUAGUUGGUGGGGUAACGGCCUACCAAGGCGAAGACGCGUAGCUGGUCUGAGAGGAUGAUCAGCCACACUGGCACUGAAACACGGGCCAGACUCCUACGGGAGGCAGCAGUGGGGAAUAUUGGUCAAUGGGCGCAAGCCUGAACCAGCCACGCCGCGUGAGUGAUGAAGGCCUUCGGGUUGUAAAGCUCUGUGGGGAGGGAAGAAAACGGCGCGUAAGAAACGACGCGUCCUUGACGGUACCUCCUUAGCAAGCACCGGCUAACUCUGUGCCAGCAGCCGCGGUAACAC